GGAUUCCCCUAGUAACUGCGAGUGAAGCGGGAAAAGCUCAAAUUUAAAAUCUGGUGGUCUUUGGCCAUCCGAGUUGUAAUUUAGAGAAGCGACUUCCGCGCUGGACCGUGCACAAGUCUCCUGGAAUGGAGCGUCAUAGAGGGUGAGAAUCCCGUCUUUGGCACGGACACACCAGGGCUUUUGUGAUGCGCUCUCGAAGAGUCGAGUUGUUUGGGAAUGCAGCUCAAAAUGGGUGGUGAACUCCAUCUAAAGCUAAAUAUUGGCGAGAGACCGAUAGCGAACAAGUACCGUGAGGGAAAGAUGAAAAGCACUUUGGAAAGAGAGUGAAACAGUACGUGAAAUUGUUGAAAGGGAAACGCUUGAAGUCAGUCGCGUCGACCGAGACUCAGCCUUGCCUUGGCUUGGUGUACUUCUCGGCUGACGGGUCAGCAUCAAUUUUGCCCCUUGGAUAAUGGCGAGGGAAAUGUGACACCUUUACGGUGUGUUAUAGUCUCUCGUCGCAUGCAAGGGUUGGGAUUGAGGAACUCAGCACGCACCUUUGGGUGUCGGGGUUUUGCCCACGAUACGUGCUUAGGAUGUUGGCGUAAUGGCUUUAAACGACCCGUCUUGAAACACGGACCAAGGAGUCUAACAUGCCUGCGAGUGUUCGGGUGGAAAACUCGUGCGCGCAAUGAAAGUGAAAGUUGGGACCUCUGUCGUGGAGGGCACCGACGCCCGGACCAGACCUUCUGUGACGGCUCUGCGGUAAAGCAUGUAUGUUAGGACCCGAAAGAUGGUGAACUAUGCCUGAAUAGGGUGAAGCCAGAGGAAACUCUGGUGGAGGCUCGUAGCGAUUCUGACGUGCAAAUCGAUCGUCAAAUUUGGGUAUAGGGGCGAAAGACUAAUCGAA
rnacentral:rRNA from 1 species